rnacentral:rRNA from 1 species
AUUGAACGCUGGCGGCAUGCCUUACACAUGCAAGUCGAACGGUAACGCGGGGCAAUCUGGCGACGAGUGGCGAACGGGUGAGUAAUGCAUCGGAACGUGCCCAGUAGUGGGGGAUAGCCCGGCGAAAGCCGGAUUAAUACCGCAUACGACCUACGGGUGAAAGGGGGGGAUCGCAAGACCUCUCGCUAUUGGAGCGGCCGAUGUCAGAUUAGGUAGUUGGUGGGGUAAAGGCCUACCAAGCCGACGAUCUGUAGCUGGUCUGAGAGGACGACCAGCCACACUGGGACUGAGACACGGCCCAGACUCCUACGGGAGGCAGCAGUGGGGAAUUUUGGACAAUGGGCGCAAGCCUGAUCCAGCCAUGCCGCGUGCGGGAAGAAGGCCUUCGGGUUGUAAACCGCUUUUGUCAGGGAAGGAACGCGCUGAGUUAAUACCUCGGUGUGAUGACGGUACCUGAAGUAUAAGCACCGGCUAACUACGUGCCAGCAGCCGCCGUAAAAC